GACGAACGCUGGCGGCGUGCCUAAUACAUGCAAGUCGAACGCAGUGGGGACGGGUGAGUAACACGUGGGUAACCUCCCAUCAGAGGGGAUAACACUUGGAAACAGGUGCUAAACCGAUACUGAUGGAUGGACCCUCGGUGCAUUAGCUAGUUGGGGAGGUAACGGCGCACCAAGGCCACGAUGCAUAGCCGCCCUGAGAGGGUGAUCGGCCACGUUGGGACUGAGACACGCCCCAGAGUCCAACGGUAGGCAGCAGUAGGGAAUCUUCGGCAAGGGACGAAAGUCUGACCGGGCAACGCGGCGUGAGUGAAGAGGGUUUUCGGAUCUUAAAACUCUGUUGUUAGAGAAGCGGUAUCUAACCAGAAAGCCACGGCUAACUACGUGCCAGCCGCCGCGGUAAUUC
rnacentral:rRNA from 1 species